GCACAGUGUUCGCUGCACUCACUUCCACUCCACGAUGUAAAUAUUACAAUUGUAAUAUGACUGCGUGGGUUCUCUCCAGUGAAGUGUCUCUUCUCUCCUUGGCUGCAUCUGUUUGGUCCUGAGGGGCUGUCAAUGGUAGCGGUCACCCUGAGCCUGGCUGCAUUGGAGUGCAUAGGAAUGGAUGGUCUCGCCUCACUGCAGAGGGAUCCCAACGAUGGAGAUGGAACAUCCUGCAACUGCCCUGGCAGAUCCUCCCCUUGAGGGAAGAGAAAAAAAAAAAGGACAUCACAGACACGCUGACACACAAGGUCACUACCCCAGCAGCUGGCCGACUUGCAGCACUGCAGAGUACUCUGCAGCGCACCGACCUGCCACAAUAGACGCGGUGACCAGACCCAGGAGGCCCCAACCAAGAUGGGCAUCCGGAAGGGGUGGACGGUAGGCCACAGACACCCCAGACAUGCAGCCUGGCUGCAGUAGCCUGAGGACAAGCAGACCCCGAGA